ACUUGACAUUGCACAUAAUAUAUCUAAGAAAGGGAUCAACUCAUGCAUACAAUGCUCAAUCUCCAUUGUUCUACCCUUUUCCCAAACAUACAAUUACACAAUCAUUCCCAAAUGUCAAAUCCAACUCACAUCUCUCACCAAAAGAUUCUAAGAACAUUAACUCUUUCUCUUUGAAAUCUACAAGAGAUUUUUCACAACCUCAAAACAUUACUUAGCUCCUAACAACUUUGCUAGCCCCCUUUUUCUUUCUUUUUCUUUUCUUUUCAUUUUUUUUUUUUUUUUUUUUUUUUUUUUUUUUUUUUUUUU
rnacentral:lncRNA from 1 species